GUUUCCGUAGUUGAAGUGACAACAGCGGCUUUUCAGGCCGCAGGUCUUGGAGGAAAGCCAAGUGGGAACU
rnacentral:tRNA from 1 species